GCUGAUGUGGCCUAGUGGUUAAAGCGAUGGGCUUUCACUUCAGAGAUCAGGGUUCUAAUCCUGGCAUGGCA